GGGAGAGCGGGAAGCUGGGCCUCUUGCUUUUCUUUCACAUUCCCAGCAUGGUAGAUGGGUGUGGACAUCAAUCCGAAGCCCACCUCCUUUCGAGGGAUCAAUAGGAUGUCUCAUCACCGCGCAAAUGCGGCUGCCCCUGUUUAACCCCAUCACAGCCUGGUGCUUCAGGAUCCCUCAAAGUCCAGGGUCAAGGCCCAUUCUCUCCCUGGAUCCUGCCUUCCCUGCUCCACCGGCUCCCUUCUCCAGCCCAACUCCGUUCCUUUCAAAGGGUCUUGUUCCCUGGAGCCUGCCAGCACCGAUCCUGUGUUCCCUAGGAGUCCGGAAGAGGCGAGGCACUGGGGAUGCUUCCUGACCUGGCCUUCGUCUCGCUCCACUGUUUGCAGAGCGGUUGUUCUGCUGAGUGGGGAUGGCAGUGCCAGGACUUCUAGCGAGACGGGAGAGGCACAAGGGGAAACUUGGCGGGAAGAGACCAAGGGUGCGGCGGCUCCACGGGGAGUGGAACUUGCAAGAAGAACACAGUGGUUUAAAGGGUAUUUUUAGGAUGUGCAAUAUGGCAGGCCUGCUCUCACUCAAGAAAACUCUGAGUUAAAUUCACAUGACUCAUCACUGCUUCCAUGCCCUGGGCUGGAGGCCAGCUUCGGGGAGAGAACAGGGAUGGCCUGAGGGAAAGGGCCCUGGCACUGGGUGUAGGGGAGUGGAUGAGGAAUAAGACUGGGGAAUCAGACUCUUACACGCUGAUGGGGACUCCCCAGAACCCACUCGUUUAGCUAGACCAAAUAUUAAACAUGUGGGUGAUAUGAGGCAGCAGGUCUCAGAUCUGCUGUCAUAAAGUGGGUCCAAGCAGGAGGAGACCCCUCCCAGGAGAACCAAAUAGAUAAAUAGCCAGGUUGUUAGAAGUGGGGGAAUCUUCCUGUGCUUCAAAGAGGUAAUAAUAAUUAGAUUUGAGCUUGAAAGAUGGGCAGAAGUGACAAAGGGAGACACAAGGCAGAGAGAGGAGCAGAAGCAGGAAUACAGGACACAGCAGACCCUCGAGCUUGGCGGGACACAGGAUCCUGCUCUGCAACAUCCACUUCCUGCUCCCGAUCUCCCUGAAGGGGCUGCUGCUCGUGGGCCUGCUCUGCACUGUGCUGCAAGUGAGCAGUGCUAAGGGGGCCUCCAGGGGGAAAUAAAGUCACAGCCUGAGCCGGGGAACCGCAGCUCCCACACCAUCAACACCCUCGGAGGGGGCAAGCAGAACCUCUGGCCUCCUAUCAGGUAAUAAGCAGCAAUUGCAG
rnacentral:lncRNA from 10 species